rnacentral:rRNA from 1 species
CUAUACAUGCAAGUCGAGCGGACAGAAGGGAGCUUGCUCCCGGAUGUUAGCGGCGGACGGGUGAGUAACACGUGGGUAACCUGCCUGUAAGACUGGGAUAACUCCGGGAAACCGGAGCUAAUACCGGAUAGUUCCUUGAACCGCAUGGUUCAAGGAUGAAAGACGGUUUCGGCUGUCACUUACAGAUGGACCCGCGGCGCAUUAGCUAGUUGGUGAGGUAACGGCUCACCAAGGCGACGAUGCGUAGCCGACCUGAGAGGGUGAUCGGCCACACUGGGACUGAGACACGGCCCAGACUCCUACGGGAGGCAGCAGUAGGGAAUCUUCCGCAAUGGACGAAAGUCUGACGGAGCAACGCCGCGUGAGUGAUGAAGGUUUUCGGAUCGUAAAGCUCUGUUGUUAGGGAAGAACAAGUGCAAGAGUAACUGCUUGCACCUUGACGGUACCUAACCAGAAAGCCACGGCUAACUACGUGCCAGCAGCCGCGGUAAUACGUAGGUGGCAAGCGUUGUCCGGAAUUAUUGGGCGUAAAGGGCUCGCAGGCGGUUUCUUAAGUCUGAUGUGAAAGCCCCCGGCUCAACCGGGGAGGGUCAUUGGAAACUGGGAAACUUGAGUGCAGAAGAGGAGAGUGGAAUUCCACGUGUAGCGGUGAAAUGCGUAGAGAUGUGGAGGAACACCAGUGGCGAAGGCGACUCUCUGGUCUGUAACUGACGCUGAGGAGCGAA